UUUAAAGAGAGUUUGAUCCUGGCUCAGGACGAACGCUGGCGGCGUGCCUAAUACAUGCAAGUCGAACGAACGGAGGAAGAGCUUGCUCUUCCAAAGUUAGUGGCGGACGGGUGAGUAACACGUGGGCAACCUGCCUGUAAGUUGGGGAUAACUCCGGGAAACCGGGGCUAAUACCGAAUGAUAAAAUGUGGCGCAUGCCACGCUUUUGAAAGAUGGUUUCGGCUAUCGCUUACAGAUGG
rnacentral:rRNA from 1 species